rnacentral:lncRNA from 1 species
UACACUGUGGUGAAGCUAAUGGCAAGUGAAAGAGACACCAGAGAGUAUAAACUUCUUAAGGAUCCUUUGUAAGAAGCAGUAUAUUGUGAAGUACAGAAAAAAAAAAAAAAACGAACAAAAUUCCUUCCAUCCAGGAACAAAGAAUACAGGAAAACUGCAGCAAGAAGAGUUAGUACUAUCCCACUGGCUGAUAAAAUGCAUGCGGCUUAGUGCUCUGAUUUACUGUCCAAAGAGUUAGAUGAAAUGCAGCAUAGUAGCGCCUAGUGUGGCUACUAUAUUCGGGGAAAUCUGAUGGGAAUUAGACUUUCCUCACAAGCCUGGGACUUUGUAAUCCACGUAUUUCUACAUCUUUUAUCUGGAGCCCAUCUUUCCCAAGCGACGGUGAUGAGAAGAUGGGUGGCCUUCCGUUGGUGCUUACUCAGUCUUUGUCUUUCCUAUGCUGGGAUUACAGGUAUGUGCGGAGACCCAGCUUGUGUGAUGCUGGUGAUGGGACCCAGAGAUUCCUGCAGGCCAGGCAAGCACGCUACCAAUGGAGCUGUGUGCCCACCUCAACAUGUGAUCUUUACAACAAUUUUGCUCCAACUGGGAAACUAGCUUCCAAGAUGUUAAGGGACUUGCUGAGGGUCACACCCAUCAUUAGCAGCGGAGCCAGAGUCCAAGCCCAAUCCUGUCAGCAUCAAGACU